AGAGUUUGAUCCUGGCUCAGAAUGAACGCUGGCGGCAUGGCUAAGACAUGCAAGUCGAACGGACUAUUUUGAAGAGUAAUCGGAUUAAUAGUUAGUGGCGAAAGGGUGAGGAAUGGAUAGGUAACGUACCUCGGGCUCCGGAAUAGCUCAUCGAAAGGUGGGGUAAUGCCGGAUGAUGUCCUGUGUUUAAUUCACGGGACCAAAGAUUUAUCGGCCCCUGAGCGGCCUAUUCCCUAUCAGCUUGUUGGUGAGGUAACGGCUCACCAAGGCUACGACGGGUAGCGGGACUGAGAGGUUGACCCGCCACAUCGGAACUGAGACACUGUCCGGACCUCCACGGAGGGCUGCAGUAACGAAUAUUGGGCAAUGGGCGAAAGCCUGACCCAGCAAUGCCGCGUGUAGGAUGAAGCUUUUCGGAGUGUAAACUACUUUCAGGGAUUAGAAAGCUACGGUUGAUCAAUCCCAGAAGAAGUCACGGCUAACUUCGUGCCAGCAGCCGCGGUAAUACGAAGGUGGCAAGCGUUAUUCGAAAUCACUGGGCUUAAAGGGCGCGUAGGCGGAUAUGUAAGUGUUAGGUGAAAUCCCUCGGCUUAACCGAGGAAUUGCUUAGCAAACUGCAUAUCUUGAGUCAAGUAGGGGUGUGUGGAACUCUUGGUGGAGCGGUGGAAUGCGUAGAUAUCAAGAGGAACGCCGAAGGUGAAGACAGCACACUGGACUUGUACUGACGCUGAGGCGCGAAAGCGUGGGGAGCGAACAGGAUUAGAUACCCUGGUAGUCCACGCCGUAAACGAUGUAUACUAGGUCGCGGAGGUUCUGACACCGUCGCGGUCGUAGCAAAAGUGUUAAGUAUACCGCCUGGGGAGUACGGUCGCAAGGCUAAAACUUAAAGGAAUUGAUGG
rnacentral:rRNA from 1 species